rnacentral:rRNA from 1 species
UGGGGAAUUUUCCGCAAUGGGCGGAAGCCUGACGGAGCAAUACCGCGUGAGGGAGGAAGGCUCUUGGGUUGUAAACCUCUUUUCUCAGGGCAGAAUCCUGACGGUACCUGAGGAAUCAGCAUCGGCUAACUCCGUGCCAGCAGCCGCGGUAAUACGGAGGAUGCAAGCGUUAUCCGGAAUAAUUGGGCGUAAAGCGUUCGUAGGUGGUUUUGCAAGUCUGCUGUUAAAGCGUGUAGCUUAACUACAUAUAGGCGGUGGAAACUGCAAAACUAGAGUGCGUUCGGGGCAGAGGGAAUUCCUAGUGUAGCGGUGAAAUGCGUAGAGAUUAGGAAGAACACCGGUGGCGAAAGCGCUCUGCUAGGCCGCAACUGACACUGAGGGACGAAAGCUAGGGGAGCGAAUGGGAUUAGAUAC